rnacentral:rRNA from 1 species
UACGUAGGGUGCAAGCGUUGUCCGGAAUUAUUGGGCGUAAAGAGCUUGUAGGCGGUUUGUCGCGUCUGCUGUGAAAUUUCGGGGCUCAACCCCGAACUUGCAGUGGGUACGGGCAGACUAGAGUGUGGUAGGGGAGACUGGAAUUCCUGGUGUAGCGGUGAAAUGCGCAGAUAUCAGGAGGAACACCGAUGGCGAAGGCAGGUCUCUGGGCAGUUACUGACGUGAGGAGCGAAAGCAUGGGGAGCGAACAGG